CUACGGGAGGCUGCAGUGGGGAAUAUUGCACAAUGGGCGCAAGCCUGAUGCAGCCAUGCCGCGUGUAUGAAGAAGGCCUUCGGGUUGUAAAGUACUUUCAGCGGGGAGGAAGGGAGUAAAGUUAAUACCUUUGCUCAUUGACGUUACCCGCAGAAGAAGCACCGGCUAAGUCCGUGCCAGCAGCCGCGGUAAUACGGAAGGUGCAAGCGUUAAUCGGAAUUACUGGGCGUAAAGCGCACGCAGGCGGUUUGUUAAGUCAGAUGUGAAAUCCCCGGGCUCAACCUGGGAACUGCAUCUGAGACUGGCAAGCUUGAGUCUCGUAGAGGGGGGUAGAAUUCCAGGUGUAGCGGUGAAAUGCGUAGAGAUCUGGAGGAAUACCGGUGGCGAAGGCGGCCCCCUGGACGAAGACUGACGCUCAGGUGCGAAAGCGUGGGGAGCAAACAGGAUUAGAUACCCCGGUAGUC
rnacentral:rRNA from 1 species